UAGAAUACCGGCCUGUCACGCCGGGGGUCGCGGGUUCGAGUCCCGUCCGCUCCG
rnacentral:tRNA from 1 species